GCCACCACUGCUCCAGCAGACGAGCACCAUCAUCGUCCAAAUUAGUAGCCUACAGACAGCAACCACACCCACAUCCUCCUUCAUUUUUCCCUUGUCGUAGAUCGGCAAUGGAGGAGAACCCGCAGUACACUUCUUGACUGCAACCAGAUGCAUCGAUGAUAAUUGAGCUCAAAGCUCGCCAACAUCGUCGGAGCGUGGAUCUCAUUGGAGCCAUCGUCAACGCUUUUUUUUUCCUGUGAGCAUUAAUAGAGGCACCGUAAACAAAAUUGAGAUCUGCUCCAGUACUCCUCUUUCAAAAAAUUACACGUAUCUUAUGCAGCCUAAUUAUUGAAUAAAAUAUUUCUUAAUUAUUUUUCACUUGUGUCACGCAUGGGCUUGGGCCUGGCCGGAGCACCCUAUCCAGCCCGUGCGGACCGAAGUCGAACUCAUCAUUCUCGAU
rnacentral:lncRNA from 1 species